AUUCAAAUAGCUUAUAUUUAGAGUAUGACACUGAAGAUGUUAGGGAGAUAAAUUUAUCUUUGAAUA
rnacentral:tRNA from 7 species